GACGGCCACCAGAGCUCGUCCUUCUCCUUCGCCACCAUCAUCAGCGGUCAGCGGCUUACUCGAAUCUCCUUCUCCACCCAUUCUUAGCUUUUGGAUCCUCCGCGAAAUCGAUCAAGAGCUCUAACCCUAGGAUUAAAAAAAAGGAUUCAACGAAGACGAGAAGUUGUUAAAGUUGGGUUAUGGUAGAUUUCUUGAGGAAAGGGAUAUGUUUUUUUUUUUUUCUAAAGGUCGAAUAACAAAUGAGAGAGACGAGAGAAUUGUAGACAAUGACUUAUUGUUGCCUCUGAACGGUUCAUGGUACUUCAAUUCCAAUUUCGGUCCAGUUUUGGUUUAGUUUUAUAAAAAUUAUAUUUUAUGUUAAUGAUAUAUAUUUAAAUUUAUAACAUUUAUGAAUUUUAAUUUAUAUAAUCAGAUAUCGAAUUUACUAAACCAUUAAAAAUAACUUUAGUAUUCUUGUUUUUAAUAGAAUGAUUUCCUAUUUUAUUUAACCAUUAAAAUUAAAAAAGAUUGUUAUACUUUUAAAAAUAUAAACUAAACUAAUAUUAUUAAUAAAUAAUAUUUUUAUAAACAUAUUUUUACAGAAAUAAUUAUAUUUUAAUUUGACAAAACUGUAAAAGUCAAAACAAUUUUGAUUUAAAACAAAAUAACAAAUUAUUUAAAUUAAAGUUUAAAUGUUAUAUCGUAUCAAUAAAUCAUUUAUAUAUAGAUCAUCAGUUGUAUCAUAUAUUUAUACAUAUCUAUACUAUAAAAUAUUAGUCUAUUUUUAAUUAAUCAGUAUUUCUGGUUUAUUUGGUUUAAUCAAUUUAUAUACGAACCCUACUUAUAUACUAUAUUUCCAAAACUUAAUAUACAGUUUUAAUUCGGUUUUGAUUGAUUCGGUAUUAUUAAAUUGAACAUUUUUUUUUAAUUCUAAUGAGAACCGAAAGACUUGGGCCACACCGGUCGGGUCAGAACAUGUUCACUUGGUCGGGUCGAGUCGGAUGGUUCUUGAGUAAUUUUGCAAUGAAGGUUUGUUGUGAUCCUCAACCAUAGAUUUAAGGGCCAUGAUACAUUUUUAAUCAGUUUUUCAUGAUUACAAUCUAAUAAUGUCUUUUCAUACCUUUGGUAGUGUACAACAGUACGUUUUGUUUUAGUCUUUUGGUUUUGAGCAAUUAAUUAUACAAACACACACAACAAACACAACACAUUUACUACUUACAACAUAUGCUUUGUCUUGUCUUUUGGUUACAUGUAGUAUUACACGCGCAAAUGGUUUUUGUAAUCAUCUUUUAACCAAUACAAAACCAGAGAGAGAGAGG